GUGUGGGGCCCUGAGAUGCCAUCAACCACCUUCGUCAAUGUCUCUUUUCCCUCUACGCGUAACUGAGAUGGUCAUCUGGCUGCAACCAUUGGUCCAAAGGACAACCAAGCAAAAUGGAGGCUGGAGUGGUUGUGCUCCUGGAUCUUAUAAUAUUGAAGUACCCAGUCUCCAACACUUACAAUACAUAACUAGAGACAUCUUUAAAUACCUGUAAAGAUGAAGACUUUGGUGUCUGGGAAGCUACAGGUUCAGGCGCAACUGUUGAAAAUGUCCCAGGAGGUGAAUAUGGCCCUGGAAGAU